rnacentral:rRNA from 1 species
UACAGAGGUCUCAAGCGUUGUUCGGGUUCAUUGGGCGUAAAGGGUGCGUAGGCGGCGCGGUAAGUCGGGGUGUGAAAUCUCGGAGCUUAACUCCGAAACUGCAUUCGAUACUGCCGUGCUUGAGGACUGGAGAGGAGACUGGAAUUUACGGUGUAGCGGUGAAAUGCGUAGAUAUCGUAAGGAAGACCAGUGGCGAAGGCGGGUCUCUGGACAGUUCCUGACGCUGAGGCACGAAGGCCAGGGGAGCAAACGGGG